rnacentral:lncRNA from 10 species
UGGCUUGGGAAGGUGGCUUGUUUUGUCUUUGCCUUCCGCCAUGGUUGUAAGUUUUCUGAGGCCUCCCCAGCCAUGCUGAACUUCCCAAAUUCUCUGAGUGGAGAACAUUUCAGCGGGUUGUUUGUGUCUUCCACUUAUUACAGAAAGGAAGUUUCUCUAAACAUGAGGUAAUUCACGUCCUCUUUAAUGCACUUCAAGUAUUCUCUUUCAUUUGUACACUAUCUUUUGACAUUCCUUUAAGUAUCUCACAUGCAAACAACCUUUUUCCUUUCUGGCAUUGAUUUCUAUUUUCUGUUAUAUUGGCAAUUCUUUGGUUGUUUUCUCGAGAACCUGUAGGUUGGCCAGCAUUAUGUGCCAGACUGGAAACCAAAGGUUCUUACCUUUUAAAAUUAUCAUUACUAUACUUGUGAAACUUUGCAAUAAUACACUAUUGUUACAUUGAACUGAUGUAUCAAUUUCAUGGAAACCCUGCCUAAAAAUGCUAACUUAAUAUUGAAUAUUACUUUGUAAAUUCAUAAGGAUUUUCACAAAUUCUUAAAGAUAUAUAACCGACAUAAAUUUGACUUAUAAGAUGUGAAUGACAC